ACGGGAGGCAGCAGUGAGGAAUAUUGGUCAAUGGGCGAGAGCCUGAACCAGCCAAGUCGCGUGAGGGAAGACGGCCCUAUGGGUUGUAAACCUCUUUUGCGCGGGAAUAAAGAGCCCCAUGCGUGGGGUGUUGCAUGUACCGCGCGAAUAAGGAUCGGCUAACUCCGUGCCAGCAGCCGCGGUAAUACGGAGGAUCCGAGUGUUAUCCGGAUUUAUUGGGUUUAAAGGGUGCGUAGGCGGGACGUCAAGUCAGUGGUGAAAUGGUGCGGCUCAACCGUAGCAUUGCCGUUGAAACUGGGGUUCUUGAGUGCGAAUGAGGUGGGCGGAAUGUGUCAUGUAGCGGUGAAAUGCAUAGAUAUGACACAGAACACCGAUUGCGAAGGCAGCUCACUGGGACGCAACUGACGCUGAGGCACGAAAGUGCGGGGAUCGAACAGGAUUAGAUACCCUGGUA
rnacentral:rRNA from 1 species